ensembl:snRNA U6 U6 spliceosomal RNA
GUGCUCGCUUCAAGAGCACAUAUACUAAAAUUGGAACUAUACAGAGAUUAGCAUGGCCCCUGUGCAAGGAUGAUAAAUACAAAUUUAUCAUAUAACUAAUGAUU